AGGCGGCGGCCCAGCCUCAGGAACACGGUGAUUUGGAGGCCAUGAGGGAUCCUGCGAUCGAGCGCACAAGGCCUGGUCACUGGAUCUUUAGCAACAGCUUGGCCAGUUCAUCGUAGUAUGUCUCUACACUUCAUAUGGUUACAUGACAUCUACCAAACUAGAUUGAACUUCUGCAGUGCAUGUUUACCUCGAUGUGAAAAAACAUCUAUGUACGAAUUUUAAAGGCAGCAACCACAAGGAUAAACUAGAGAGGCAGAGAAAACAAGGAUCUAUUGUUCCACUAUCAACAUGUAGAUACUACAAGUCAUAUAUGUAUCAACUAGUUUGUGAGACAUGUAAUUAUUUUAUAGACGAUGUGUACAAUUGACUUUGUAAACUACUACUGGCUCCCUCUCUCAGUUAUGCUGUAAUACAACAUUAUUAUUUUGUGCGAUGACAUACAAUUUUUUAAUAUAUUCUGAUAUGUAGAUGAGAGUCAAAUUAUUUGGUAUUAGCAAGUAAUUUCAUUAACCGCAAUUGAACAAUAAUUUUUUAUACAAUAUAAAUAGGAUAUAUCAUAUAUGCAGUUGCAUCUAGU